rnacentral:rRNA from 1 species
AGAGUUUGAUCCUGGCUCAGAUUGAACGCUGGCGGCAUGCCUUACACAUGCAAGUCGAACGGUAACGCGGGGCAACCUGGCGACGAGUGGCGAACGGGUGAGUAAUACAUCGGAACGUGCCCAGUAGUGGGGGAUAGCCCGGCGAAAGCCGGAUUAAUACCGCAUACGACCUACGGGUGAAAGCGGGGGAUCGCAAGACCUCGCGCUAUUGGAGCGGCCGAUGUCAGAUUAGCUAGUUGGUGGGGUAAAGGCCUACCAAGGCGACGAUCUGUAGCUGGUCUGAGAGGACGACCAGCCACACUGGGACUGAGACACGGCCCAGACUCCUACGGGAGGCAGCAGUGGGGAAUUUUGGACAAUGGGGGCAACCCUGAUCCAGCCAUGCCGCGUGCGGGAAGAAGGCCUUCGGGUUGUAAACCGCUUUUGUCGGGGAAGAAACGGUCUGCGCUAAUACCGCGGACUAAUGACGGUACCCGAAGAAUAAGCACCGGCUAACUACGUGCCAGCAGCCGCGGUAAUACGUAGGGUGCAAGCGUUAAUCGGAAUUACUGGGCGUAAAGCGUGCGCAGGCGGCUUUGCAAGACAGAUGUGAAAUCCCCGGGC